UACAGAGGUCUCAAGCGUUGUUCGGAUUCAUUGGGCGUAAAGCGCGCGUAGGCGGCCCUGUAAGUCCGUUGUGAAAGUCAAAGGCUCAACCUUUGAAAGCCGAUGGAUACUGCAGGGCUAGAGUCCGGAAGAGGCGAGUGGAAUUCCUGGUGUAGCGGUGGAAUGCGCAGAUAUCAGGAGGAACACCAAUAGCGAAGGCAGCUCGCUGGGACGGUACUGACGCUGAGACGCGAAAGCGUGGGGAGCGAACAGG
rnacentral:rRNA from 1 species